UGAACAUGAGAUGCUUCAGACAGAUCUCUCACUUAACUCUGUCAUAUAGUAGCUCUAAGCCUGAGCAACUCAUACUGUCUGAACCUCAGAUUUUUCUGCAGUGUGAGGAUGACAGUAUCCUGAGGGAGAGUCGUGAGAAUUUGACACUAUGUUGGGGACUAUCUCAAUGUUCAGCGCAUGGUAAGCACUCAAUAAAUUAGAGCUACUAGCCUUUGUAACUAUUAGUGUCCUUGUGUUUGUAGUUCCAUUUGGUCAGAGGAACUUUCAGUUAAUAUUGAUGCCAUGAGUCCAGCCUUUGUUAGCCUUCAUACGCUGUCCUAUCUUUGCUCUGUGUUGGAAGCUCGGAUUUAUGACUGUGACAAACCAGGAAAUUAAUUUCAGAUCCAAUUUUGCAAUCUCCAGUAUUCCUUUCUACAGGUAUCUAAAUGUUGAUUUUCUACAUUGAGGUUCAUACACCACAUAUGAGGAAAUGAUCUGGUAUCUAUCUCCAAAACUGUCGCUAGAUCUCAGUGCUCACAGCUAAUAUUAAGAGUCCUCACAGACUCAUUUCUCCAAGUUUCUGAAUUCCUUGAACUUCAUCUAAGGUGGAUGCACACAUAAGCCUUUCUCAUUCUCCUUUCAAAAUGAAAUUUCCUUUCAGCCUUCUUCCCUGCCCAAAGCAGGAAACAACUCUCCUGCUCCCCAGCAGCUCUCUCUAUGUUUUCACAAUAUUAGGAGGCACUGUCUGCUAUUUGGAAUCAUUUUGGCUUAUUAUAAGGGCUCACACUGUACUUCAUUAGCAGGGCUGCUGUGAAAUUAUGAAACAUUUUGGUGAAAAUUACAAGCUAUUUAGACUCAUUUCUUGCUGAAAAUAUGCAAAGCCCUUCGGGGAAAAUGCAGACAGAUGGUGUUUGAGACAUUUAUUGUUUUUCCUAUGUAUUUGUAAACAAAUACUAUAAAUUAAGCAUUUC
rnacentral:lncRNA from 1 species